rnacentral:rRNA from 1 species
UACAGAGGGUGCGAGCGUUAAUCGGAAUUACUGGGCGUAAAGGGUGCGUAGGCGGUUCGUUAAGUCUGUCGCGAAAUCCCCGGGCUCAACCUGGGAAUGGCGAUGGAUACUGGCGAGCUAGAGUGUGUCAGAGGAUGGUGGAAUUCCCGGUGUAGCGGUGAAAUGCGUAGAGAUCGGGAGGAACAUCAGUGGCGAAGGCGGCCAUCUAGGACAACACUGACGCUGAAGCACGAAAGCGUGGGGAGCAAACAGG